rnacentral:snRNA from 1 species
GUGCUUGCUUUGGCAGCACAUAUACUAAAAUUGGAACGAUGCAAAGAAGAUUAGCAUAACCCCUCUGCAAGGAUGAAAUGCAAAUUCAUGAAGUGUUCCAUAAAGGG